GGAUGUGAGGGCGAUCUGGCUAUGAUAGCAGUCACCCCAUUGAUCUCUAGAGUUGAUUCGGCUAAUCCGGCUGGCUAGGCGAGUGUCCCCUUCCUCCCUCACUAUUCCAUGUGCGUCCCUCCUGAAGCUGUGAGCUGGGUCAAAGAGGACGACCUUCCCUAUAGAAGAGAGAACUAUUCUUCAGUCAAGGGUAUAUGAGUAGCUGCGCUCCCCUGCUAGAAUCUCCAAACAAGCUCUCAAGAAACUGAUGUAAAAUAUGAAUAGAGGUAAGAUAAAAACAUCUGUUGCUAACCAUCCAUCUUCUAAGUGCCAAGGAGUGCUCAUCUAUCAUUGCUAUUUGUU
rfam:Pteropus alecto contig50296, whole genome shotgun sequence.